UACACCCACUAUCCGCCCGGGAACUACGAGCAAAAGCUUAAAACCCAAAGGACUUGGCGGUGCUUUAGAUCCACCUAGAGGAGCCUGUUCUAGAACCGAUAACCCCCGUUCAACCUCACCUUUCCUUGUUUUUCCCGCCUAUAUACCGCCGUCGUCAGCUUACCCUCUGAAGGUCUAAUAGUAAGCAAAACUGGUAAAACCUAAAACGUCAGGUCGAGGUGUAGCGUAUGGAAGGGGAAGAAAUGGGCUACAUUCGCUACUACAGCGAACACGGAAGGUGCACUGAAACGUACACCUGAAGGAGGAUUUAGCAGUAAGCGGGAAAUAGAGCGUCCCGCUGAAAUCGGCCCUGAAGCGCGCACACACCGCCCGUCACUCUCCCCGAAAACACCCACUCAGUUAAUUAAAACCUAAUAAUCAUAGAGGGGAGGCAAGUCGUAACAUGGUAGGUGUACCGGAAGGUGCACUUGGAAAAAU
rnacentral:rRNA from 1 species